rnacentral:rRNA from 1 species
AUUGAACGCUGGCGGCAUGCUUUACACAUGCAAGUCGAACGGCAGCAUGGGUGCUUGCACCUGAUGGCGAGUGGCGAACGGGUGAGUAAUAUAUCGGAACGUACCCGGAAAUGGGGGAUAACGUAGCGAAAGUUACGCUAAUACCGCAUAUGCCCUGAGGGGGAAAGUGGGGGAUCCGCAAGGACCUCACGUUUUCGGAGCGGCCGAUAUCAGAUUAGCUAGUUGGUGAGGUAAAGGCUCGCCAAGGCGACGAUCUGUAGCUGGUCUGAGAGGACGACCAGCCACACUGGGACUGAGACACGGCCCAGACUCCUACGGGAGGCAGCAGUGGGGAAUUUUGGACAAUGGGGGCAACCCGGAUCCAGCCAUGCCGCGUGAGUGAAGAAGGCCUUCGGGUUGUAAAGCUCUUUCGGACAGAAAGAAAUCGCACAGGAUAAUACCUUGUGUGGAUGACGGUACUGUAAGAAGAAGCACCGGCUAACUACGUGCCAGCAGCCGCAGUAA